UCCCAGACUCCUACGGGAGGCAGCAGUGGGGAAUAUUGCACAAUGGGGGGAACCCUGAUGCAGCGACGCCGCGUGGGUGAAGGAGCACCUCGGUGCGUAAAGCCCUAUCGGCAGGGAAGAAAAGCGAACAGGUUCGCCUGGACGGUACCUGACUAAGAAGCCCCGGCUAACUACGUGCCAGCAGCCGCGGUAAUACGUAGGGGGCAAGCGUUAUCCGGAUUUACUGGGUGUAAAGGGGGCGCAGACGGCGAUGCAAGCCAGGAGGGAAAGCCCGGGGCCCAACCCCGGGACUGCUCUUGGAACUGCGUGGCUGGAGUGCAGGAGGGGCAGGCGGAAUUCCUGGUGUAGCGGUGAAAUGCGUAGAUAUCAGGAGGA
rnacentral:rRNA from 1 species